GCCUCGCGUGAGUGUUGCGAUUGCUGGUCGCGCGCGCGCGCGAAAGAGAGAGAGAGAGCGAGAACGAGCGAACCGAUAAGUGAGGGGGGAGAGAAGAUAUCGCGUUGCUCGAAUCACGAUUAGCGUUUCGCCGUGUUCGCGAAACCAGUCGAAUACCACGUGUGUAAUAUACGAAACGCAGGGAUAAAUAAUCGAGAGCGAGUUGCGAAAGAGCGAGGAUCGAAGCGACCUCGCACGUGAGCGACCUUCCUGCUUCCCCCCCUCCGAAGGUUCCUCGAAAAGAGGCCGAUCGAAGGGACAAAGGGCCGGUCGGAUAUCGCAGAUGAAGAGGGCUUGCCGUCACCCUACGGGCCUCGAAGAGGAAGAACGAAUUCUCGGUUGUGUUGCUGCACCGGGAGACGAAGUGCGUUUUCGCCGGCGAAAACAGUGCGUAGCAACAACAACACUGGAUACCAAGCGGAGAAGCUGGUCGUAGACGACGGGCGGUAGAAAGGACGAAUCGGCGGAGGAGGAAGAGGAAAGGAGAAGUGGAGGGAGAGGAGGACGAGGGGGAGGAAGACCGGCGGGCGAAUUCGCAGGCUACGUCGGACGGAAUUACUGGUUAUCGGGUAUCUUAAUUACCUGCAGAACGAGGAGAACGCCGUGCGAUAAUCUCGUUCGUUAAGGCCUUCGAGAGCCAAGAAGGAACAUCCUUUAAUUUCUGGCCAGGCGUUCAACAAAAGCCUCGGCGCGGGCUUUUCCGUCAUCUUGUCCCGGACACAAUAGAUAGCCGUCAAGUGCCCCACGUUAUAAUCACUGUUGAAUAGCUACUGUGUAUCGGAAGUCGUCCCAAGUUUCGAUUGUUCGUGCGGUGACGGGUUUCCCCUUGCUCGGGAAACGAGUCUCCUGUCCGAUCGGCAAAUGCCUAACGAACCGAAAGUAACGAACCGGCGGGUGUAGGCACUUUGCACCACUUCGUGCCGGUUAUCACGUCGAGCUGGUGUGGUGGCGAAACGAAUCUUGACGGCGGUAGGUCAUUAAUGCUAAUCUCGCCGACGGAGGAGACGCAUAAUUAGCAGCGAGCUGUCUCGCAUUGUUAAGCGGAGGAGGAAGGUCACUCUUUCGCGCGAACUUUUUCUUUCGAAAGAGACGUGGCUGUCUCCUCGCCUCGUGUCUCGCCUCUUUCGGCUUCAUCAUCCGGCGAAUCAUCGCGAUUUAUUUCGCGCGAAGCUCUCGAGCUCGAUCGUGUUGUUUACGAUGCGAUUAAUAUCGGUAUUUUCGCGAGCGAGAAGAAUCGACCGUUCGUUGUAGCGGUAUUUUCUCUCGCGACGGCCCGAAAGAAGCCCGUGAGGAGGAGAGGGAAAGGAGCGGAGUUCGGAUGUCGUCGCCCAUAUCGUCGUAUCUCAUCUGUCCGCAGAGAAAAGGCUCAUCGGUCGUAAGUGCGCGAACUUGCAAUCGCCGGCACGCGCAUAAUCCGCGCAUAAUCGCGCCAGCAGCGCGUACGGGAUAGACUCGUAACGACUCGUAACGUAGCGCAUUACCCAUCGAUUGUGUCUGCGCUCCUGUCAUUCCGAUGCUUCCCGUCGACGCGACGGGUGUCAUAACGGCUCGUACGUGUUGUCGUUGAGAGAGAAGGAGAAGGAGAGUCGACGGAGAGAGAAGUCGACGAGCGGAGAAAGACAAGACGUGCGUAUUUGCCUUGGCGCCGGUGUGCGAAAGAGUGACUAAAUACCGACGUCGUCGUGAAAACGGUGAUCGUAUAAUGGAAGUUUAUUGAGAGAUCUAAGCGCGGGAGA